GCCUGGCUGGCUCAGUCGGUAGAGCGUCUGACUCUUGAUCUCGGGGACGUGCGUUCAAGCCCCAUGUCGGGCC
rnacentral:tRNA from 1 species